UAAAUGUAAUAAGGAGCCAAGUUAUACUCUGGGGCGGGAACUUGUCUCAGUGGAAGUGUUAUUGUCGCACAGCAUUCUGGGAGAUUGAACGUUAAUGAUGGGGCUGAUGGCUUCAGCGAUGGACAGGAGCAAAGUUAUCACUACUAUGAAAAGGGGGCAAAAGCUGCUAUAGCCAAACCCUUUAAUCAUCAAUUUCAUCCCAAAAAGUCCAACCCGUUUCCUGGAUCAGAUGCCAAAGAUCCAGAUGUAGAGAAGAGCCACAAUGUCGGCUUCCCACCACUGAGCAUCUUCAGGAAGAAGAAGAAAGGCCCAAAUGCCCCAUGAGGUUACAGAAGGUGCAGAUCCAGAGAACCCAACUGAGGAAAUGACAGUUGGAGUUUCAGUUACAGACAAGGGAGCAUCAGUCUCAUCAGAAGAGAAACAGCUCCCUGAGCUCAAGCUGACAGCACUUCAGAAACAAAUCCUUCAGGGUUGUGAUUGGCUGGAAGAUGACAUUAUAGACGUGGCACAAGCAAUGCUGAAAUGGCAGUUUGGAGCCGACGGCCUCCAAUCCAUCAUUGAAGCCCAAUGGCAGGUUGUACCUGUGCCUGUCCCAGCUGUACAGAUCCAGUUAGAUAGAGAUCUGAACCACUAGUUGGCAUCUUGUUUCAGAUCCGAUAGAGUGGAGAUCAUGGACAGUUUAAAAUCCCCCAAACUCAGCAAUUCCAUGAAGAGACAAAUCCGGGAAUACUAUUGGGAAGUGGCCCCAGAUCCUCUGGGAAGCCUGAUACAACUAAAGGUGCACCAGCAACCCAAUGGCAAUGACUGUGGGGUAUAUGCCAUAGCCAAUGUGUGUGACUUACUGGCAAACAGAGUCCCCACUGGCUGCAGGUAUGAUAAGAAGAGAAUGAGACAGCACCUCAUUGAAUGUCUGGAGAGGGGAGAGAUCACCUCAUUCCCCAAAAAGGCCCAAAGUUCCUCACAGAGUGUAACAAACAGGCAGAAGAGAGACAAAAAAGAGAAAAAUAAUCCAAUCCAGAUGAGAGUGAAUCCUUUUUAUUUGGAACUGAACCUAUUAAAAAAUUGAUACCAACAGUUCCAGAACUAAAGGAGAGAGAUUUGCCUUACAACAUCCUCCAAUGGGAACUUUCCUACAGAAAAUGCCAGUCCCAAAGAAAUGCUGCUAUUUAAUGCCCUUUCCCUGCUCCCUAUAACGAUGUAAAUAUUUAAUAAUAAUUAAUUUAAUAUAAAAUAUAAUAAUAAUAAUAAAAAAUACAAAUAUAUAAUAAUAAAUAAUAAUACAUGUAU